GACGAACGCUGGCGGCGUGCUUAACACAUGCAAGUCGAACGGAAAGGCCCUGCUUUUGUGGGGUGCUCGAGUGGCGAACGGGUGAGUAACACGUGAGUAACCUGCCCUUGACUUUGGGAUAACUUCAGGAAACUGGGGCUAAUACCGGAUAGGAGCUCCUGCUGCAUGGUGGGGGUUGGAAAGUUUCGGCGGUUGGGGAUGGACUCGCGGCUUAUCAGCUUGUGGGUGGGGUAGUGGCUUACCAAGGCUUUGACGGGUAGCCGGCCUGAGAGGGUGACCGGCCACAUUGGGACUGGGCUGCGGCCCGGACUCCUACGGGAGGCAGCAGUGGGGAAUAUUGCACAAUGGGCGGAAGCCUGAUGCAGCAACGCCGCGUGCGGGAUGACGGCCUUCGGGUUGUAAACCGCUUUCGCCUGUGACGAAGCGUGAGUGACGGUAAUGGGUAAAGAAGCACCGGCUAACUACGUG
rnacentral:rRNA from 1 species